AUCAACUUUCGAUGGUAGGAUAGAGGCCUACCAUGGUUGUAACGGGUAACGGGGUGUUAGGGCACGACACCGGAGAGGGAGCCUGAGAAACGGCUACCACAUCCAAGGAUGGCAGCAGGCGCGCAAAUUACCCAAUCCCGACACGGGGAGGUAGUGACAAUAAAUAACAAUACGGGGUUCUUUCGGAUUUCGUAAUUGGAAUGAGUACAAUUUAAAUCUCUUAACGAGGAACAAUUGGAGGGCAAGUCUGGUGCCAGCAGCCGCGGUAAUUCCAGCUCCAAUAGCGUAUAUUAAAGUUGUUGCAGUUAAAAAGCUCGUAGUUGAAUUUCGGGAUCAAAUUGUCGGUCGUGCCUCGGUACGUACUGGUAUUAUUGGUUCCUCCCUUCUGACGAACCACGAUGUCAUUAAUUUGGUGUCAUGGGAAAUCAGGACUGUUACUUUGAAAAAAUUAGAGUGUUUAAAGCAGGCUCGCGCUUGAAUACAUUAGCAUGGAAUAAUGAAAUAGGACGUUUGAUUCUAUUUUGUUGGUUUCUAGGAUCGACGUAAUGAUUAAUAGGGAUAGUUGGGGGCAUUAGUAUUCAAUUGUCAGAGGUGAAAUUCUUGGAUUUAUUGAAGACUAACUACUGCGAAAGCAUUUGCCAAGGAUGUUUUCAUUAAUCAAGAACGAAAGUUAGGGGAUCGAAGACGAUCAGAUACCGUCGUAGUCUUAACCAUAAACUAUGCCGACUAGGGAUCGGAUGAUGUUAAUUUUUUAAUGACUCAUUCGGCGCCUUACGGGAAACCAAAGUGUUUGGGUUC
rnacentral:rRNA from 1 species